UACGUAGGGUGCAAGCGUUGUCCGGAAUUAUUGGGCGUAAAGGGCUCGUAGGCGGUUUGUCACGUCGGGAGUGAAAACUCAGGGCUCAACCCUGAGCGUGCUUCCGAUACGGGCAGACUAGAGGUAUGCAGGGGAGAACGGAAUUCCUGGUGUAGCGGUGGAAUGCGCAGAUAUCGUAAGGAAGACCAGUGGCGAAGGCGGGUCUCUGGACAGUUCCUGACACUGAGAGACGAAAGCUAGGGGAGCAAAUGGG
rnacentral:rRNA from 1 species